AAGUCUGCAGGACGGUAGCUCUCCAGGAGCAGGGUUGGAGAUCCCUGGGGGGUAUUGCACAAAAGCAAGGUAAGGGAUUAAGCUGGGAUUUUCCAGUUAUCCUGGCUGAAUUUAGCCCUGACUCGGUUGCAUGAAGGCAGGCUAAAUUAAUCUACAUUAAGUUUCUAUGGAGAUUGACACUUUGCAGUUAGCCUGAUUAAUCCUAGUGAUUUAUUGGCUAGUUCCUCCCUAAAUCCUACUAGAUAUUAAUGUGUUUUAGUCACUUAGGUCCUGCAUUAAAAUACUAGAUAUACUGUCAUUCAUCUAAGUAUGCGUACUGUUAUUUUAGUUAUAAUUGAAAACUGCUGUUCAUUUCACUGUCAGAGGUUUGAUGAAUAUAUUCAAGAUUCAAAGCGUUUAUUGUCAUACACCCAGUGAGGAAAGCAGAUUUUCCUGAGCAAUAAUUAUUUGCUGUCCACAAUGAAUGCCAACACAGUGCAAAAUAACUAUACUAUGCAAUAUGAGAAAUAGAAUAUAGACUAUGUAUAUCUGUAUAUGCAAGAAUAGAGUAGAAAUGUACUGUUGAAUGUCAGUAUGUAGUAUAUAUAGACUAAAGAUUUGUGUGUUUCCUAUUCACAAUGCCUUGCCCUUUGUUGAUGAUGUAGUUGAUGAGGAAGUUUCAAUACUCAGACGAGCAUUCAGGCGUGAAAUAGUCUUCUGAGAUAGGGCAGACCCAUUGGCCUUUUCAGACGAAUAUCUGACUGAGAGGUACAGAUUCUCAGGUGAUGGCAUCAGAUAUUUGUGUAGGCUGCUGGGUCCAAACAUACAGCACAAGACAGCAUGAAGCCAUGCUCUCACUGUCCCACAGAUGGUCUGUGUUGCACUGCGAUUCUUUGCAAGUGGCAUGUUUCUGUAUUCUGUCAGUGAUGCAGAAAACCUCAAUAAAUCCACUAUUUGCCAGACAAUAUGAAAUGUAAGUCUGGCAAUGAAAUCUCUUGUGCACAUAUUUAUCACCUUCACUGGUCGCAGAAGAUUCAUCCACAUCAAGGAUGAGUUCUACAAGAUUGCAGGUAACAUGAAUAAUAAUGAAAUGUUACAUUAGCACAGCCACAGUAUGACACCCAUUAUUUUGUGUUACAGCUUUUCCUAAUGUAAUUGGUACAAUGGAUUGCACCCAUAUUCAUAUCCAACGCCCCUCAGGGGCACAUGAGGGAUAUUAAUUUAACAGGAAAUCCUUCCACAGUGUCAAUGUUCAGAUGAUCUGUGAUGCUGACUGUCUUAUCACAAAUUUAGAGGCAAAGUGCUCAGUCCAUGACUCCAGAAUCUUUCGGGCCAGUAGAAUUUACCAGAGACUCUCUCUAGGUGAGUUCUCUGGUGUGCUGCUGGGGGACAAAGGCUAUGCCUGUGAGACAUUUCUGAUGACUCCCCUUACAGACCCCCAAACCCCAGCACAGCAAGCUAACAACCAUGCCCAUGCCAAAACCAGGGCUCAAAUUGAAAUGACCUUCGGCCUCCUGAAAUCACGAUUUCAGUGCCUGCACCACCUGAGAGCCUCCCAAGACAGAGCAUUUGAUGUGAUUGUUGCCUGCACAGUGCUUCACAAUAUUGCCAGCCUAAGAAAAGAAAGGGUUCACAGAGUUGCUUUGGAUGUUGAUUGGGACAAUGCUGCCAUAUUCCCAGAUAACAGAAAUGGUAGACUUGUUAGAGAACAAUACAUUGCAAAUUAUUUCAGUUAAUUUAGUUUUGAUUUAGCCCAUACCUUAAUAAAGGAUAAUGUAGGCUAUAUAACUUUCAUAUGUACCUCUAUUUUAUUUGGCAUCGGUAGCACACACAGUGGUUAUCUUCCCAAAUUCUAGUUCCACUUCACUGAAUCAAUAACUAUAGUGUACUUGACAUUCACACAAAGACCACAAUGGCUUUGGAAUAUUUUUAUGUUAUUUUGCUGUUAUC